rnacentral:rRNA from 1 species
GAUGAACGCUGGCGGCGUGCCUAAUACAUGCAAGUCGAGCGAACAGACGAGGAGCUUGCUCCUCUGACGUUAGCGGCGGACGGGUGAGUAACACGUGGAUAACCUACCUAUAAGACUGGGAUAACUUCGGGAAACCGGAGCUAAUACCGGAUAAUAUAUUGAACCGCAUGGUUCAAUAGUGAAAGACGGUUUUGCUGUCACUUAUAGAUGGAUCCGCGCCGCAUUAGCUAGUUGGUAAGGUAACGGCUUACCAAGGCAACGAUGCUUAGCCGACCUGAGAGGGGGAUCGGCCACACCGGAACUGAGACACGGUCCAGACUCCUACGGGAGGCAGCAGUAGGGAAUCUUCCGCAAUGGGCGAAAGCUUGACGGAGCAACGCCGCGUGAGUGAUGAAGGUCUUCGGAUCGUAAAACUCUGUUAUUAGGGAAGAACAAAUGUGUAAGUAACUAUGCACGUCUUGACGGUACCUAAUCAGAAAGCCACGGCUAACUACGUG